ACACGCGAAAAAAUAAUUCACUAAGAGAAAAGAUUACAAGGUGAUUACCGACUCCACGGACUCAACCUCUCUUAACCUCCUAUGAAUCUUCGCGCUACCCUCCGGGUUGUCCACGCCCUCACGUCCGAAUCCACGAACGCCUCCACUUCGAAUCCACGAAGCUUCAAUCACGCCGAAUCCACGACGCCACUCGAAUCCACGAGCCCACGAUCCGAAUCCACGAACCGCCGUCAAAUACGCCGAAUCCACGACGCCACCAUGAAGAAUAUCAUGAAUAUGGUGAUCCUUCGCUUUGGAGUAUUGUAGAAAACCAGGGAAUAGAACUCCAAGCGAAGCGGAGAUCAAAUCGACAUAUUAAUAUCAAAUUUCAAUAUCUCGAUUUGAUCUAAAAGAGGCUUUUUGUAGAAAAUAGGUUUUUGAUGAAAUCCGAGCCUCUAGGGUUUCUCAAAUAUGUAUUUUCGUGAUGCUUAAUCAGUUAGAGAACCCCUAUAGCUUAUUUAUAGACUUUAGAAUCAAAACAGAGUAGGAUUAGAAAGUUUCUUUCCAAAAUCAGCACCUUGUACCGGAACAAGGAAAGCUGUCCAGGGUACACCAUGACGGAAGAUUUUUCUGCGAAGCUUCUGUACCCUGAAUAAGCUGCAGCUUGUUCCGGAACAGGGCUUGUACCGGUACAGCCGUGAUGGUUGUACCGGAACAACCAUUAAACAUUUCUGCGCAAACGCUGAUGGCUGUACCCUGGACAGAAAACCCUUGUACCGGUACAACAAUGCAAUUUUUGCUGAAAAUGUAUUGUUUCGGGUUUUACAAGCUCUUAGAAACUUUCUAAUCAAAUACAAUUUGAAAACAUGAUUCUAACAUUUAUAAUUAAGUAUGAAUCACCAUAAAUAAGAUUUAAAACUUACUUAAGCAUCGUGAUUCAUGUUUUGCGUGUUUUGCGUCCUUUCCGAUUCUUCGAAGCCUUGGAUUCUUCGAUCUUCAAUACUCCGCUCCGGACUUCUUCAAGACUCCGACUCGACCCACGAAACUUGCGAACACAUAGGACCUAACACACGGCUAUAUUUUAGUACAGCAUUCUAUCCUCAGACAGAUGGGCAAAUAGAAAGGACCAUUCAAACUCUAGAGGAUAUGUUGCGAGCGUGUAUCAUCGACUAUAAGGGAUAUUGGUGUGAUCACUUGCCGAUGGCCGAGUUCGCCUACAACAAUAGUUACCAUGCUAGUGUGGAGAUGGCAUCGUUCGAGGCUCUUUAUGGGCGGAAGUGUCAAUCUCCUAUACACUGGAGUGAUGUGGGUGAACGUGCAGAGUUCGGCCCCGAUGUUUUGCGAGAAGCGGAGGAGAAAGUCUGCCUUGCUCGCAAUAGAUUGCUCAUGGCACAAUCGAGACAGGAAAGAUAUGCAGAUAGGCGCUGUCGAGACAUAGAGUUCGCGGUGAGCGAUCACGUGUUCUUGAAAGUUUCACCGAUGCGGGGUGUGAAGUGAUUUGGAGUACGGGGAAAACUAAGUCCCCGGUACAUCGGACCUUAUGAGAUAUUAGAGCGAGUAGGCACAGUGGCCUAUUGGCUUGCCCUGCCGCCGAAGCUCGCCGAUAUGCAUAAUGUAUUCCACGUCUCCAAUCUUCGCAAGUACAUCCAUGACCCGGAGCACGCGAUGUUAUAUGAACCGCCAGAACUUCAAGAAGACUUAAGCUACGAGGAGUUUCCGAAGAUGAUUAUCGCCCGAGAAGUGCGAAAACUGCGAAAUUGAGAAAUUCCCUAUGUGAAGAUACGAUGGAGCAAUCAUGAUGAUCGCGAAGCCACCUGGGAACUCGAGGAGUUGAUGAAAAAGCAUCAUCCUCAUCUAUUUGAGGAUUGAGGUAGAAGUUUAAGUUUGAGUUGAGAAUUGGAUUAGUUUCGAGGACGAAACUUCUUUUUAGGAGGGGAGGAUGUAAGGAAGUGAAUUCUCAAAAUCCGAUAGUUGUACUUCGUCCAGAAUUGACUAAUUGUCGAGUGGGUAUGCUUCGGAAAAGCCGAAGAUGUCUAAAGCACCAAAAGUGCAUUAGAGUUGGAGUCCACGAGAGCUAAUAGUGCAAAAAUCUGUACAUGGCAAAUUCAGCUCUCGGGGACUGGUCCCUAGUAUGUGGGAUAGGUUCCCGUAAGCUUGGUGCGAGAGGAAAACCCUCUACGCACAAUUGUUGCUCUCGGGGAUCGGACCCUUAGGGGCAGACCAGUUCCCGUAAGUGUCCUGCGAGAGCAUUGCUCUCGGGGACCGGUCCCUGGCGGGAGGGACCGGUCCCCGUGUGCGUGGAAGCUGGCUGGGAGCUCCAGCCUGCGAGAGAAGCUCUCGGGGACCGGGCCUCCCGUAGAGGGAUCGGUCCCCAUGCGCGAAAACUGCCCAGACAGUGCAGUCUGAGAAAAGCAAAGUGGAGGGGCUUGGCUGCAAUUAUGCCAUUAGUAAGGGGUAUAGAGGGCAAAUAACCCUCUCUCCCUCUCUCAUUUCCUUCCCAACUCUCUCAUUUCUCUUCCUCUCUCUCUCUCUCUAAAAAAGAAGAAGAAGGAGAAGAAGAAGAAGGAAAAGAAGAAGAAGGAGAAAAAGAAGAAGAAGGAGGGGAACAUGAAGGAGAUCACCAUCACCAUCUUCUCCUCUUCCUCUUUCUUCCAUUGGAGCUAGCCUAGAGGUAAGCUUCUCUACCCUAAUGGUAGAAACCUAGGGUUUGGGAUUUCUAGCCUUAUAAAUGGGUCAAAUGGACCCCUAGCGCAAGCUUAACAAGUGUUUAGAGCUAGAAUCUAGGGUUUUGAUCGAAUGGUUUUGCAUACUUGCAAACCUAGGGCACCAAUUUGGGGCUUUGUUAAAUAGAGGGGUUUGAUCUCAAUUGAUGGCCUCAUAACCUAAUUGAUAGGUGUCUAUGUAAGGGAAGUGAAUUCUCAAAAUCCGGGGAUUAGACUUCGUUGGGAAUCGACUGAUUGUCGAGUGUGUAAGCUUUGGAAAGUCCAAAGUUGAUUAUAAUGCAUAAAGUGAACUAAAGAAAGGUCCACGAGAGCGCCAGUGCAAAAGCUGCAUUGGAGCAGAAAUGCUCUCGGGGACCGGUCCCUGGCCGGGAGGGACCGGUCCCAUCGGGCUGGGCUGCGCAGGUCUCUGAUGAGACCGGUCCCUGGCAGGCAGGGACCGGUUCUCGAACGUUAGCCCAGUGAGAAUUAGCCGAAAUUCGGCUAAGUCCCGAGAACCCAGCUCUCCGGAACCGGUCUCUCGGACAAGGACCGGUCUCCCGGGGACCGGUCUCUCAGGCAAGGACCGGUUCCCGAGCGCGAAAUCCCUCUCUGCCUGAUUGUGCAGCUCUCGGGGACCGGUCUCCCUGAGCUGGGACCGGUCCCUCACUGCGAAAAUGGCCCAGUGAGAGGUUGUGUAAUAGAUGGAAAGUUGAGGGGUUUAUUUGCAAAAUGGCUUAUAAGUGUAAUACACUGAACUUUUGUCAAUUGCGAAGUUCGAAUGCGGGAAAUGGUAUAUGAAACUACCCUACAUAUUCUAAAGGGCUUAGACAAGUUUUUGGACAAGUUAGAGGGUGAUUGGAAAGCUAAAAGCAAGAAAGUGCAUUGCUUUGGCGAAAUCAGCAUUUUUCUGCUUGCUGUACCGGUACAGCCAUAUCGUGUACCGGUACACAGUGGCAGAUACGUGGCAGCAGGGAUGUUUUGGUAAUUUCACAUCUUGAUCCCUAUCUACUUGACCCAGCACGACUCCUGGGGCUCAGUGGAGGUUGCUGGAGAUCAGAGAAGCAACCUUGCACCAUUUCCUCUUUCUCUCUCUAGGGUUUUUCUCUCUCUAGAUAAAAAUCGCCGUUUCGCGCCGAUUUCGCGCCGCGCUCGACUCUCGCUGGUUAGACGACUCAAGGGAAGUCUUUGGAACGUGGAAAAGAAGGGUUUUAUUGCGUUUGCUGUGAGGUUACUGCCAGGGAAGCUAACUCUCAGCUUUAGAGAGGUAACUAACUUGAUUUCUCUCGAAAUUUCGGUUUAGUAUCGAAUUUGGCGUCGUGUUGGCUUUCUUUGCUACCAACUGAAUUAGAGGCUGUUUUUAACAUUAAAGAUGACUUAAGUAGCUGUGAUUUAGCCCAGGGAUAAGCUGAUUUGCUACUUGAAUAAAGUAAUGAGUAUUUAUGAUGCGAAUUCGGAACGAUAUGAAAUUUAAUUGCAUAAUUGAUGCAAUUUCGGGAUUAUUUCUUCGCAGCAGGUCUUCGAGUCUCGUUGAGCUGAACUUGCACUCUUAGAAGCUGGUUUGGAAGGUAUUCUAACCUGAGGUAAGCAGGGAUUUCAGUUAGAAAACUGAAUUCGCAAGAUUUCGACUAUUAUAGCUUAUAAUCGACUAUAUUGAUGUCGUCUCGGAAUUGUUCGCAGCGAGAGGGUGUUUGACCUGACGCCUUCGUUUGUCUGCGCUAGACCUUCGGGAACUAACUGGUAUUGAACUAAGCCAAAACAGGGAUUUAAGCUUUUCCAAUGUACGAAAGUGUAAUUGCGCCGAAAUUGGCCUUUUCGAUCGUAAUUUUGAUACGUUAUGUAUGCUUCGUGUUCAGCAGGAUUGCGACCGUGGAGGACUGAUCCAUUGGAACUCCUUGACUUGUUUUGGACCUAGUACUAGUGGGCGGACUUUCCCGAAAUGGGUAAUUUGCCUCUAUGUCUCCUUUGACAUCUGAGUUGAAGUUAUUCAUAUGCAUGGCAUUUAUAUAUGUUCGGCAUGCGACAUGCCAUUGAUGCUUGUAAGUCAUAUCGGAUAUGAUAGCAUCGUAAAUGGUAUUACAGACUUAUGACUUGUCCAUUCUAUAUGUUAACCUGUUAAGUAUAGGAUUCUGCACUAGCAGCUGGACAAUGCAAUUUUGCUUCUAGUUAACUCCACGAGGAUAUGAAUGUAAUCAGUUUUGUUGAAUGCGACUAAAUUAGUUUCUGUUUGAACAACAAAGAGAUAGGAUGAUUUAGAAUACUAUCAAUGUAUGUAUAAUUGCAUACUCUGAAAGAUCAGCGGUAAAGCCUUUGUUGAUAUCGACAUUUCUUAAUUGAUUAGAAUGAUAUGGCAUAGCAAUCUGUGAGAGUGUUUUUAUCGCUUGUUUACUACUGCUAUGCUAUACUUUGGUUAGUUUCUACUUUCAUCAUGAUAGCCUGUUUAUUAUGGUAUUGUUCUAGUAAGUAACUAAGACUUUCAUAAUGAUGGCAUAAACUUGAAUGAUUAUCAACUGAAUAUAAUCUCAGAAAAAACUAGAUUUGGAUAUGAUAAACUACUUGUAUAGUCAAGUAGAGAUUUAUAUUGGACUACAGGAUAUGUGCCAUGAGUCUAUGAAUAGAACCUUAGUAACCCACUUUCCUUAUGUGUAAGGAGUGGUGAGAGAUGGUGAGUGACUGACCAGGUAUAGCCGGAUAGAAUCACUAGUGUGAUGUAAAGCUUUAACUUGUUAAGUUAUCAUAACGACUGGAAGAAUCUUGUCAACAAGUUGUUGAUAGUGACUUAUGAUUGGGUACUACAGUGCCGACCUUGGGUCGAGUUGAGAUUCCAUGUCAGAGACAUGAUGCUGUUGAGAUAUUUGUACCCUGGACUAUAGCUAGCAUGCCAUUAUGCUCUUUCGUACAUGCUUGCGGGGGUCGCGCCCCCCAAGCCCCGCGUUCCGGAGUGGCUUGAGUUGAGAUUCCAUGUCAGGGACAUGAUGUUGUUGUGAGACUGGUACUUUGGACUACGGCAUGCAUGCCAUUGUGCGCGUUUGCACACGCUUGCGGGGUCGCUCCCCCCCAAGCCAGCACUCCCGAACAGCUUAGCGACAGAUGCUCGCAAAUGUACGAAAUGAGCGCCGAAAUGGAAUGCCGUGGGGGAGGCUCAUUCCUCGAGUGGGGAUGUUGACUACCACGGGGCCAUUAGGCACGGCGCGGCUUGAACUUACCUUGGGUAAGUCUGUUGGAAAUUGGGUUAUGUCAAGUACUUUAACCUUAGCUGGACAUAGUAGUACAGUUACUUUAUGUCUUUGGUUAAGUGAACUUAUUGAUGAACAUACUAGAAAGUUGAUAUCAUAAUUGGUUAGCAACAUAAUGAAUGACAUUAUGUCUCUUUCUUUCUAUGGAACAAGGUAAUUACAUGAUAUCAUCUGUAAUUUCAGUAAAGUGAAUUAUCUUGCAUACAUUCUGAUAUAUGUUUGGUUAAAUUGUCAAGUAAUAUGAUUGAUAGAAUCUAUCAUGAUAACUGAUACCUGCAAGCUAUUGUUAUUUACUUAUGGUUGAGCAAAUAGCAUGAGUAGUUUACUUCCAUAUCUGUUGCAUAUAAUUGCUUAUUGUAUUAUCUGCAUUUACUCGCUUAUUUAUUGCUAUCUACUCAUGCCACAGUUGACCUAGUGGUGUACUUCGCCACUCUCGGCGGCUUACCCACUGGGAACUAUUGUUUAAUAGUUCUCACGCCCUCUUUGUUGUUGUUUUUACAGAGCCUUCCACAGCGGGAAAGGCUAGGGAACUGGCGAGGAGUCAGCGACUAGCUAGAGCCUUUUUGGACGUGUACUAGAUCACCUCUAGCAGUUUAUAUAGUUUAGUACAGAGAUGUAUAUUAAGUUUUUGUAAAUUGUACUUUAUUCUUAUUUCCUGUUUUAAGACUUGGAUUGUAUAAGUCUAAACUUAUAAGUCUUGCUCUGAUUACCUAAUUGAAUUAUAUGCUUUUACUAUAUGGUUUGUAGACGCCUUGUGUAUACUUGAGUUGUGGUGUACACGGCGGAUCUGUGCACGCGACCGGAUGUGCUUCCGCUGGUACCCGGGCGUGACAAUAAGAGAGGCUACGGGUCCCUCUCUCCCUCUUAUUUGCUCUCUCUUUUCCUUUCACACUCUUUCCCUCUCUCUCUCUAGGAAGGAAAAGAAGGAGAAAAAGAAGGAGUGGAAGAAGAAGAAGGAGAAGAAGAGAAAGAGGAAGGAAAAGACUAAAAAGAAGAAAAAGAUUGUCUUCUACUCUCUCCCUCAAGCUUGAAGUCUUGAAGAGAGGUAAGCUUUAAACCCUUUAAUAGUGUUUCUAGGGUUUGGGGGUUUUAGAGCUUAGAAAUGGUUCGAGUGGAACCUAUUGAAGCUAGGGAGAAGGUUCGAGCUCGAAACUGAAGCUCGCACCGUGGAUUUCUCCAUUAUUGAGACCUAGGGCUUCGAUUUGGGAUUUUGGCAAAUCUAGGGUUUUGAUCUAAUUUAAUGGGUUGCAGACCUAAUUGCUAGGUCUCUGAACGCGUCGGCGAAGAUGGUUCGUCGAUCCGUCGAGUAGGUGCGGAGUUAUCGCCAAAGAAGACCUUCGGAGCUUCGUUCUCACUUAGAAGGCCAACGAGGCGUCGAAAUGUCGGCGAAUCGCAUUUGAAGACUCACGGCAUUGCCACGAGGUGGGGGAGUGCCAUCCCGAAGCAGUCGAACUGCUUUCUAUGUCUGAGUACUAAUGUCGAUCAGUUACAUAUUGUGAUAUAGCAUUAUAGGGUGUUAAAUGUAAUUGUACAUAUCUUUGCAUGCUAGUGAUAGUUUGGAUUGUGGAUACAAUGAAUGAGAUAGUUCGCCCUAUAUGUGAUGAAUAUGUCUAUAUGAAUAAGAACCUAGUGUAUUGGAAACUAGUGUAUCAAGAACUUGUCAAGAGAACGAGUAGUAUCUAGUAAACAGUGAACCCAGAACGAGUGGCACCUAGUUGGUAUUGAACUUGAGACACUAUGAGAUCGGAUCGAGCUCACUUAGCCUGUCUGCACUUGUGGAGGUAGCUCCUCACAGGUAGUGCACUCCGGAGUUUGGCACGCGAGGGGGCCAGUGUAGUGCCCUUGGACCAGUGUAGUGUCCGCAGGCGGUCUCGGGGUAGGUGAAUAGCUAGCCACCUCCCCUAUGAGACUUAGAGACGUGAGACUGUGAGCGAACCUUGUGUUCGCCGAGAGAUUGGGUAAUUGGUUGAAUGAUUUCAUUAUUGAGCAUGGUAGUAUGAUAGCCAGCCUUCUCACUAUGAGUCCCGUGCAUGCAUCAUACUGGAUUGAGGCAUUGAUAGAUCAUAGUUCAUAGUUGCUCAUUACUGUUAAUGCUUUCAGUUUGACAUAUCUAUCUAUCUGUAUAUUUAUCUGUGCCUGCUUAGAGCUAGUGGGGAGAUCGGCGGAGUCGGCGGCCGAACCCACUGGGAACUAUUUGUAGUUCUCACUCCACCAUGUUGCAGGUCCGAGUUCGAGCGCCCCUGGUGAGGAUCGCGGCAAGGGCGUAGCGCCCUAGUGACAUUAGUAGAGGUUUACCUUCCUCAUGUAUCAGUUGUACCCUGUACUAUUUUGAGAGUAGUUGGAUGUAUAGGGUGAGGUUUUGAGAGGAUUGUAUAUACAUUGUACAGUUUUGGAAGAAUGCAAGUUGUAAUAAUUGUAUAAAGUUAAAUGGAUCAAUAGUUAUCCUUCAUUUUUGCAGAUAAGUCCCUCAGCUUUUAUCCUUCAUUUUUGAAGAUGUGAGUCGAGGGCGGCCCCAAGGGAUUCGCCAUGGAUUAGGUAAAUAAAAGAAUAAACCGUCGGUAAUAUACCGAAAAUUCGAAAAAUAAAUAUCGAACUUUAGUCAAAUUGACCAAAGUGUGAGGAUGGUACACUUCGGAAAGUCCGAAGGUGUUAAAAUGAUCGAAAGUAAGUUACGGGAGGUUUUCGAGAGCUAAAGGAUCAAAAUUCUGCAAACUGCAGAUUUUGAGCUCUCGGGGAUCGAUCCCUGGUGGGAGAGACCGGUCCCCGAACGCGUAUGAAAUGAGACAGCCGAAAAAUCGGCUAAGUCCUGAGAAACUAGCUCUCGAGAACCGGUCCCUGCCUGAGAGACCGGUCCCUAAGAGACCGGUCCCCCAAAGAAAGACCGGUUGCUCUACGCGUGCGCCCUGCUGCUCGCGGGGAGAGCCUUUGGGAACCAGUCCCUGAAGGAGAGACCGGUCCCCGCCUGCGCGAACUGACCAGUUUGGGCAGUGUAAUGAGAUAAAAGCUGAGGGACUUAUCUGCAAAAAUGCAUUAUGUGGGUCAUGUUUAGGGCUGAGAGAGCCUCUCCCUCUCAUUCCCUCACACCCAAACUCAUCCCUUUCUCUCUCUCUCUAGAAGACAAAGAAGGAGAAAAAGAAGACAAAGGAAAGGAAGGAAAAAGAAGAAGAAGAAAGUGGAGAAGAAGCCAUUGGAGUGAGGCAACUCCAUCUUCUUUCUCUCUAGUGCAAGAAAGGAGCAAGCUUUGAGGUAAGCUUUGCCCCUUUUCAUGUUAACUCCCAAACUAGGGUUUGGAUAAACCUAAAAGUGAUUUUUAUGGAGCUUUUAAAGUAUUGGAAGCUUUUCUUUUGCUUCUUUAGAGAUCAAGACCAUGAAAAUGGUGAAGCUUGAGGUGAGCUUCAUCACCUCUCAUGGUGAAACCCUAAGUAGGGUUUUGAUUUGUCUAAAGAUGGUUCUAAUGGACUUUUAGAGUAUAAUGAAGCUACUUUUGCUUCCCAUCGAGAUCAAACCCUAGGUUUGAUGAUGCUAUGGAGCUAAGGCACCCAAAUUGGGGCUUUUGCUCAUGGGGGUUCCUAAGUGCAAUUGACCCUCUGAGAACCUAAUUGGGGGUAUUUCCGACGCGUUGGUGCGCUCGGAUUAAUGUUACGAAAAGCCAAUGUAAAGAUAUGAGCAAAAUGGCCUAAUAGGGCUUUGUUUUGCCGCAGGUAAGGAACGAAAGGUCUAAAAAUCCCAAGAAAAUCAUCGGAGCACCUUUGAAAGCCUACGAGGUGGGUGGUGCUUCUCAAACUUAUUGAACUUCUCUCUAUGCCUAAUGUUUCAUUCAUUUGAGCAUGUGUAUAUAUAUUGUUGCAUGCAUUUUAAGAUAAAGUGAUGAUGAAAAUGCGAUGAUGCAUGAUUGUGAGUACAACUUGCAUAAUAUAAUGAAUGAGAACUAUGUGAACGUCAAAAACCCUAUGUGUAUGCAUGAGAGGAAAGUGAGCACCCAAAGUGAGCAAAAGAACAGAGUGACACAAUGACAUAGAUCGAGUGGCAUUCGAUAAAGUUAAAGUGAAAAGACACUAGAGAUAGUGUGAGGUAAAGAACCAGUGUAUUGUAAAGAAUGAUGAAAAUGAUAAUGUUUAAAGUUAAAGUAAUGUGGGAAGUAAAGAACAUGAAGUGCUAGAGGUAGCAAAAAGUAAAGAAUGUAAAGAAUAUGAUUGCUAGAGUUAGCAAGAGUAAUGAAUGGUAAAGAACAAUGAUUGCUAGAGUGGCAACAAAAAGUGAUGAAAGAACACUAGAGCUAGUGUAAAGUCAAGAUUGAACUUAUAAAUCCUUUGAGUUAAGGAUUCGAUCAUACUUGCUAUGAGUUCUGUGCUCGAAGGCGGUCGCUCCCGCUCCGGCGAUGCGCUCCGAAGUUAUGCAUCACGGGUUGGAGUAAACCCGAAGGACGGUCCUAGCGGGUGAGUUCCUGCGAUAGACUUAAUGUGAAGCAAGUUAAUGUGGCGAUACCCCCGGGUUAGCCUUGAGAUUAAAGAACAAAGAGCAAAGAACAAAGUGCAAAGAACAAAGAGUAAAGAACAAAGAGUAUGAAAAGAACAAAGAAUUUGCAUAAUCUGCAUUUAUUUAAUGUUGAGCAUACUCCUUGCUUUAUUGUUCAGGCAUAUUAGCAUCAUGUAUAGUUUGGUUACUGUUUACAGCCUAUUCUUUCUAUUAUGCCUGAGUUAGUCAUAGUGGGAAAGUCGGUGAGAUUGUGGCCGAAUCCACUGGGAACUUUGUUGUAGUUCUCACCCCACUAUUUCCACAGAGCCAGGACCGAGUGAGCCGGCGAGCGACCGAGGUAAAGGUAUCGCGCCUUAGUCAGAGGCCACCAGAGUCCGGUUUACAUUUUGUAGUAUUUACCCUUUAUCCUCUUUUGUACUUGAUGGUUAGUGAUGUAAAGAAAAAAAUGUAAUGUGUAUUUUGAGGUAAAUGUGAUGUAAGAAAGAAAUGAUGAAAUAAAAUGUAAGGAAUUUGAAAAUGUACAAGAUGAAUGCAAUGUAUAUGAUCAAAAAUGAAUCAUAGUACAAGUGAAUGUUUAGUUUCCUUUUUCUUUCACUCGUGGCUAUUGCUUACCCUCGUGUAAGCCGUUUGUGUAUGUUUCCGCUAGUGCUUUUCUCUAUUGAUAAAAAUGUACAUGUGAUGAGCCUUGGGCGGAUAGGGAAAACUCUGUCCGUUCGGCAUCUGUUUGACGUGCUCGGGUCGGGCCAAAUUGGUAUCGGUCCCGGGGCGUGACACCGUCGUUGAACAUGGUUGAAUUGGACAUAGUAGCAUGAUAGUAAACCUUUUACUAAAUGGUGCAUGCAUUUAUUACUUGUGAUUAUGGGCAUAGUAGCACAGUUUUCCUAUUAUGUCAUUUAUUGCUUUGGAUAUCUAUCUAUCUAUCUAGUUGUAAAGUAUCGUCAAUGGCGGUUGAGUAACCACAAGCAUCGCUAAGUUUUCCGUCGAUUUCCUGCUUAGCGCAUCCGCCACCACGUUAGCCUUGCCCGGGUGGUAAAGUAUCGUCAAAUCAUAAUCCUUGAGUAGCUCCAACCAUCUGCGCUGCCUCAAGUUCAACUCCUUCUGAGUGAAUAAAUACUUUAAACUCUUGUGAUCCGUAUAUACUUCGCAUAGCUCGCCGUACAAGUAAUGGCGCCAUAGCUUCAAUGCAAAGACCACGGCCGCCAAUUCCAAAUCAUGAGUAGCGUAGUUUCUUUCAUAAUCCUUCAACUAGCGAGAUGCAUACGCGAUCACUUUCCCGUCCUGCAUCAAGACAGAACCCAAUCCAUUAAAGGAAGCAUCACUAUAAAUCACAUACCCUGCCCCAGCAGUUGGCAAGGUUAGGAUCGGGGCGGUCGUCAAUCUCUGCUUCAAUUCUUGGAAGCUCCGUUCACACGCAUCAUUCCAAACGAACUUGGUGCCUUUAUGUGUGAGCCUCGUGAGGGGAGUAAACAACUUUGCAAAUCCCUCGACAAACCGUCGGGAGUAGCCGGCCAAACUAAUGAAGCUCCGUAUCUCGGUCACGCUCGUCGGCCUCGGCCAAUCCUUGAUGGCUUCAAUUUUUCUAGGAUCCACGGCUAUACCUGAUCCUGAAAUCAAAUGACCCAAAAAUGCCACAUCUCUAAGCCAAAACUCACACUUCUUCAAUUUGGCGUAGAGCUCCUUUUCCCGAAGCACUUGAAGUACAAGUCUCAAGUGUUCCUCGUGAUUCGCAUCACUUCAGGAAUAGACCAAAAUGUCGUCGAUGAAUACUACGACGAACCUGUCUAGAUAGGGCUUGAAAACACGGUUCAUUAGAUCCAUAAAAGCCGCCGGGGCAUUAGUAAGCCCAAACGGCAUAACGGUAAACUCAUAAUGUCCAUACCGUAUUCUAAAAGCCGUUUUCGACACAUCCUCAGGCUUGAUCUUCAAUUGAUGGUAUCCCGACUGCAAGUCGAUCUUGGAAUACACACUAGAUCUCUGGAGCUGAUCAAAUAAAUCAUCAAUCCUCGGUAAUGGAUACUUAUUCUUAAUCGUGACUUUAUAGAGUUCACGAUAGUCCACGCACAAGCGAAGCGAUCCAUCCUUCUCCUUGACAAAUAGGACCGGUGCUCCCCAAGGUGACACACUCGGUCGCACAAAACCCUUGUCCAGAAGAUCUUGCAACUGUGCCUUCAGCUCCUUCAACUCCGCCGGUGCCAUCCUAUAGGGCGCUUUUGAGAUUGGAGUAGUCCCGGAGACGAGAUCUACCACAAACUCAAUUUCCCUAUCCGAUGGCAUACCUGGAAGCUCUGCUGGAAACACAUCUCCAAACUCCCGUACUACGGGGAUGUCCUCGAUCCUAGGGGCGUCUGCAUCGCCCCACAACACAACGGUAGCGAAAUAAGCUACGCAACCUCUGCUGAUCAACUGUCUAGCUCGAGAGGAGCUAAUCGUCAUCGCAAACAGCGAACUCUGGCAUCCUCAGUACACAAUCUCUGCCUGCCCCGGCUCUCUAAACGUCACAGUUCGAUUCUUGCAAUCAAUAGUGGCGUAGUACUUGGUCAACCAAUCCAUGCCCAAAACAACAUCAAACUCUCCGAGUUUAUGCAAAGCUAGCAAGUCCACGGGCAUGACCCAAUCUCCAACCCGAACAGGGCAACGGGGGCAAAACUCUCGAAUGUCCAAAGAAUGAUCGGGUACCCUCGUCCCGGAUGCAACAAAGAUGUCAGUGGGAUGCCAUUCAACUCGACAAACAGCCGGUCUAUGAAUGAAUGCGAUGCACCGGUAUCAAAUAAUGCUCAAACUCGAAUACCAUAAAGUAAAAUGAUACCUGCGACCACAUUCUCGGCUGCCGCCGCCUCCUCAGUCUGGGCCGCGUACAUGCGCCCGCUCGGGGCCUGUCGUGACCCCUCCGUCUGCCGCGAAACUGGCGGCCGCCCAGCCUGGUGAUGCGCAGAAAGUGUCCCCUGGCUGGGACCCAGUAAAGCUAGUGCAGAUGCCGAAGAUAGCGCCGGUGCUGGACCCCUCGGGCAGUCCGACUGGAAGUGACCCUCCUGGCCACACAAGUAGCACCUGCCCCGACUGUGUGAACACUGCCGUGGAAAAUGGGGACCACCGCAGAUCACGCAGCGCGGAGCCUGGAGUCGAUCAGGUCCUCCUCGCUGAGUAGACUGGCCACGUCCUCGCGACUGGCUCCGGUGUCUCGGGUGUCUCGGCGGCCUCCCAGAGUGUGCCUAACUCGCACCCUCAGCCGCGGGCCUCUUGCCUUUGCCCUUGUCCAAGGCCUCUCGCCGCUCUUGCAGAUCUGCCGCUCCACUCUCACUAUGAGUGCGCGGUUCACAACCUCCCGGUAGGUUUGGAGGUUGGAAGACCGAACAAAUCGGAAGAUCGAAGGCCGCAAUCCCCGCUCAAAGAUGCGGGCCUUGUCCUCGUCGUCCCGAACAACGAAGGGCACACAAUGAAGAAGCCGGGAGAACUCUCUCUCGUACUCAGCCACUGUCCUGUCUCCUUGGCGCAGGUUGCGCAGAUCCUGCUCCAUCUUCCUCUUGACACUAUCAGGGAAAUAAUGCUAUAGUAGGAGUUCCUUGAACCUCCUCCAUGAGAUCGCCGUCAGAUCCGUGCUGGGGUUGUCCUGGAUGUCCAACCACCACCGGUAGGCCUCGCCGUCCAAAUGAUGUGUGGCGAGCCACACUCUGUCCCUCUCCUCGACGAAGGUGUCCCGAAAUAGCUUCUCCAUAUGCAUAAGCCAUUUCUCCAUGAUCCAGUGAUCCACGUUCUCCCCGUCAAAGGUCCGGGGGCUGCAUCUCCUGAACUCACUGAGACGCUCCAUAAGCCGAUCCCGCUCAGCUCCCUCAACCAUCACGGGAAAAACCGCCCCCGCUACAGAUGCUCGCGCUGGUGGUGCCGCGAUGUCCUCUCCCCGAGGUGCCGCCGCUGGUGCCGUCCUCGAAGCGUCGAGCGCAGGGGACGACACCCUGGGCGCGGCCACCUCUACUGGUGCGGUGGUGUGGGGAUCUGAGUCUCCCUGGCAGCCGCCUGCUGCAGCAGAAGGUCCUCCAGGCGUUUCAUCCGCGCCUCCUGUCGAAGUGCCGUGUCCGCCUAUCGUGUCACCAACUCAGUGAGGGCUGCCAGCUGGCCCCUCAACUCACGGACCUCGCCGGAUCCGGAGGUAGCGGAGGUCUCAGCCUCCUCAAAUUGUGUCGCAUUGUCCGCCCCCGCAGAUUGAGAGCGCGUAAACAGCAUUGUCACCACAAAACAUAAAAGCGCAAGUUAGUAACCCGCGCUACCGAAUCCCCGCUCAAAUAGCAAUACCCAAAUCAUGCGAAAGUAAGGGAGUGUUAUCCACAACUAACUCCCGAUGUUACGUUGUCGGCCGCCAACGUAACCCUCCGCGAAGUUAGAAGUCAUACACUCCGAUUAAACUUUAACUUUUUAGAGUUGUCAUAAAAUCCGAUCAUAAAACUUUCGCUCACAAGUUGAAUAGACCUCGUCUCUCACGAGCCUAUUUCCUAUAGUCCAACCGGCCUAAGGUUUGCUAGGUCCCCUAAGACUCAACCCUAGGCUCUAAUACCAAAUUAAUCUGUCACGCCCCGGGACCGGCAGAGGCCCUCCCGGUAGCGCGCCCAGACCCGCCAUAUGUCUACACAUAUAAGGCGUCUACAACAAUAGCGAAAAUAAAGCAAGAAAGCAAAAGGAUCUAACGAUAUCAGAGCAAAGUAAAUAACUAAGUUCUACACAGAGGGGUAAGUAUAAAACUGAAAUCCACUAAUAAAGCCAUAGAGUAGUACAAAGGAAAUCCCAAAUACAAAAGAAGAGUAAACCACCUAUGCUCAUAAGGGCUCCCAGCUAGUUAGCUACGCGACCCCUUUGCCGCGAUCCUGUGCCUCCGCCGGUGCCGAAGGCUCUGAAAUAACAACAAGAAAACGAAGGCGUGAGAAUUAUAAUUUAUAGUUCCCAGUGGGCAAUUACUGACCUCAGCUCAAUGCACCACUAGGCCCCAAAGGAAAAAGGGUGAGUACGAUAAGCAACGAAAAUGAAAGCCAUAACUGCGAUAAGGAAGCAUGUAUGUUUACUAUACCAUAAGCAUCACGAUGUCCAUAUAUUACUCAUUUACUCUAUCACGAUGAAGAAUGUCCAAUGCAUAAGUAUUAUGUCCCGACCCGGCAACAAAUAUCAUGUCCCGUUCUAUCAAUAUGUGAUGAUUAUGCUUUAUCAUGGUAACCAAGUAUACAAUGAUGCAACAAAUAGACUAUCAAGUAUACUACAUGUCACAACACUAUGUUAUAAGCAUGUCAUAGUAAUCCAACUACUAAUCCUAUCUAGUAGUGAUAGUCUUUUCCCGGUUCAAUGUCAUUGUUUCCAACAUGUUCGAGGACCUACAUAUUGUAGUCCAGCUUGUGCCACCUAAGUGUCGGUGGCAGCUCCAGCAUUCCCACUCUAGGAAUGAGUCUAUCCCUCCCGACCCCGUAGGUUUCUUGAUACCGCACGAGCGAGCAUAAGUCGCGUAGGCCAACUCCGGAGUGCCGGCUUGUAGGGAGCGACCCUCACAAGCAUGUGCGAAUGAGCACAAAUGGCAAACAAGCGCAAUCAUCGUCUCAAGUACCCAAUCAUCAUGUCUCUAACAUGGUAAUAGUCACUAGCAUCUCAAUGAUCUAGCUCUAGGUCAUAAUGUGAAGUUCCAAUAUUUACUAAGUUUAGUGCCCCUUUAUGACACUUAAGCUUGAUAUACGUUAAACACCCUUCACAUUCUAAGUUCCAAUCAUGACAUUAGUACUAGGUUCUCAUCUAACCGGAGCUCAAUGUCCCUUUAUGACAUUAGCUCACUAAUUCACAAGUCAAAUUGGUCCAAUGCCGCUUUAUGGCAUUAUGAUCGUUUCAAUAUCCAAAUGAGGUCUAAGUCUAUAGGCAUUUUACAUAUGUCAUUUCUACCAUAGGAAACAUGGUUCCAAAUCCCACACCAGAAUGCUAAAUGCAACCAUAAGCCCCACAUGCAACUCUCUACUACAUAGAGGUCCGAAAAUGCAUUAUAUGUAAUAUAGGCAUUUUAAGCAUUCUAAAAUUCACAAAUAAUACAUCUAACAUGAAUAUGCAUGCUUUUUUAUUUUACGACAUUCAAAUCAUCACAAAUGAGAUUUUUUCAUUGUGUGGCUAGGUCAAACCCACCGAACCGUCGCGGAGUCCUUCAUUUCGCCGAACGGAGUUGUCCACGAGUCUCUAAGUACCCUAAAAGUAAAGAGCGAAGAGAUACACAAACAUUACGAACAACUCUAGGCUCAAAUAUUAACCAUCACAAGCAAAGGGGCAAAAACUCACCUAGGGAGUAGAAAAUCUCUCUCAAGCUCCAAAAGAAAGCUAGAAUCCUUCCAAUCUAACCCAAAGGAAGGUUCUAAUCCAAAAAAUUGAGCUCCAAAAGCCCUAGAUCCAAAAUGCCCAAAAUCAACCCUAAAAUCACAUUCUAGGGUUUCAUCUCAAAGAAACCCUAAAAUCUCGAAAUCUAGAGAAGAGAACAAGUCACUUACCUCUAAGAAGCUUCAAACUAAGCUCAAAGUCCUCAAACUUCAAGAACCAAGCUCCAAAUCCAAGCUUCGAGCUUCAACCAAGGUGGAAAAGAUUCCAACAAGCAAAAGAGAGGCUUAAUCUCCUAAAAAUCCAACCAAAAAUCAAGGAAAGAGAUGGGGAGGUGUGGAGGGCUUCCUCACCUUUCUCCUUGCUGGUGCCAAGCUCAGGGGAGGGUCCUAGGGCGUGGGGAUACAAAUAGAGAAGCCACAUUGCAAAAACACCCCUGCAGUUUCGACCAUUCAGAAUCUGUCACUGCGUACCAAUACACGGGCCCGCGUACCGGUACACCUCCCACAAAAACGCCAAACCCGAGCCUCGGGUUGGCUGGGAAGCGGUCUGUGUACCGGUACACGAGCCCGUACCGGUACAGCCAUCAACCCUGUACCGGUACACGGCCUGCUGAAGGCUACCCGAGAGCUGACCAAAAAUCCGACUUUUCGGGUUUUGGUGCUAAGCUUCAAACCUCACUUCUCGGGAUUCGAACUAUAGGUCGGAACACUAUCUACGACCCACCAGAAAGUCUGGAAAAACUCAGAACACAUCCAAUCACUCGAACCUCGCAAUUUGUAAAGGUCCAGUGUGUUACAAAUAUCUGGGGUGGAUUCUUGUACACAAUCUCGUUGUUGCGCCUUGGGCGGACAGGAGAGGUGCUGUCCGUCGGGCGUCUGUUCGACACGCCCGAACCAGACCAAAUUGGUUGCGGUCUCAGGGCGUGACAGAAGCAAAUGGUAUCAGAGCAAGUUAAGAACAAGUAAAGAGAGAGUCUAAGAUUGACCUAGGAGACCUUAGGUUGGAAAACCGUAAGUUUAUAGGUGCGUUAGUGGAACGUGAACUUAUAACGGUGGCGGAAGUGAUUCGAUUGGGUCGAGAUAGGAGAUACGUCUCUAGUAGUUGCUAGAGAUGGAUUCAAGCGGUAUUAGAUCUUGACUUGAGGUGGUUGUGUCGGCGGCCGACGACAUGAUGCCAAGAGUCUAGAACAAGUACACUUGUGUGCUUCCGCCCGAUUUUGCUGUUGAGUCGUAGUUGCGACGAAGCGAACGGGUUAAAAUAAUUAACCCAGUAUUUGCGUUUCAGGAGCUAAUAGCACCAAGGGGACGCCCUAGUACGAGAUCUACUCCGGCACCGCCUCCUGAGGUGCCCGAGCAGGUUGAACCAAGCGAGAUGGAUCGGUUGCGGGCGCAGGUGACCGCAUUCACCGAUGUGGUGCAGCGCCAGGAGACCCAAUUCGAGCGGCUCCAGGAGCUUUUGGAGCGGCAGGUUGCGGCGGCGGCCGCGACGGUGACCGAAGGCGACGGUCUGCCCGCACCCUCGGUGCGUGUACCUAAAGCGGCUGAGGGUGAGGGGAUAGCGGCGGUCCCAGUGGCGGCACGUCCCUCGCCGGCAAUUGUUCCGUCGGCGGCAUCGGGAUCGGCGACACCCGAUGUGACGGCCGAAGACGUGGAAGGGGAGUGCGCGUUGGCGGCUCUUAUUAAGUUCAAGAAGUUCAACCCGCCAAUCUUUGAAGGGGAGAAGGUAGAGCCGGCAAUGGUCGAGUCAUGGAUUGACUCGAUAGAAACGCUCUUUGAAAAUUUGCGCACCUUAGAGACGGACAAGGUAUAUCUUGCCACCCACUGCCUGUAGAAAGCGGCAAAGGUGUGGUGGAAGCGUGUAAAGCGAGACCGGCCUUCCGAUCUUCCACCGAUGUUGUGGGAGUAGUUCAAGAGGGCGAUGUUCGCCAACUACUUCCCCGAUACGUUGAAGCAGAAGCUCCAGAAGAAGUUCCGCAAGUUGGAGCAGGGGGACCGCUCAGUGGCGGAGUAUGAGCAGGAGUUCUCCCACAUCAUAGACUAUGUACCGAAUGUUGUGAGGGAUGAUCAGGAUCGGGCCGACUGGUUAUUGCGAGGACUUCGGCCGGGGAUCUAUAAGGCUGUGCAGAUACUCAAGCUCCCAACCUUUGCAGAGGUCUUCGACCGGGCGCUUUGGGCGGAGCAUGGUGACGCCCAUGUCCGGGACAAGCGCGAGUUGCUGGCUAAAUCAAAGGAUAAAGGCAAGAAGCGCCAAGGUGGCGGUUCAGGGGGACAGCCAAGUUCCAAGAAACCCCCGAAGUAUCCGCGGAAUCAGUACAGGGGCGCAACGGUGUGUCAUAUGCGGCGGAGGCCACCCGACGUCGCGAUGUGAGCAGCGCCAGGGAUGGUGCUUUAAGUGCGGGCAACCGUGGGACUUCGCACGCGACUGCCCGGGAGGGGGAGCUUCACCUGCUCCAUCUAGUGCAUCAGCGCCGGCAGCUCCGACUUAUUAUGGAGGAGCUCCACCUGUGGCAACAUCAGCAGGGCGCGCGAUGACCCCACGACAGCCCGAGAUGACACGAUCGGCCCAGAGCGGACGGGUGUUUGCCGCUCAAGUGCAAGCUGAGGAGCCAGCUGAGGCGGAGGAGCAUCGCCUUGUGGCAGCUAUAGUUUUAAUUAACGAAGUUCGCUCCAGGGCUAUGUUUGAUACAGGUGCCACGCACUCAUUUAUCAGUAGAUCAUUCGCACGCAUGCAUGACAUAGUCAUAGAGGCGAGUGAGGGUAAGUGGCGAGUAGAGGGCCCUGGGCCGGCAUUUAACACCUAUACGGAGUGUUCGUCAUGUCCAGUACUAAUAGGUGACUAGAUAAUGCCUAUCCGGAUGCUGGAACUCAAGGAAUUGAAGGAGUUCGACGUCAUUUUGGGCAUGGACUGGCUCUCGAAAUAUUAUGCAACGAUUGAUUGUAAGAGCAGAGUAAUUAAAUUUCGUAAGCCAGGACAGAAAGAGUUUACUUAUCGGGCCUGUCAAAGCUCGUGCUUCACCGCGACGGUAUCGGCGACGAGAGCUAGGAAGUUGGUCAACAGCGGUUGUCCAGCAUUCUUGGCAACUGUUGUAGAAGUAGACCGAGCAGCUCCGACCUUAGAGGAGUUGUCAGUGGUGCGGGAGUUCCCCGAUGUGUUUCCCGCGGAGUUACCGGGGAUACCGCCGGAUAAGGAGGUCGAGUUCAUCAUAGACUUGAUUCCCAGUACCGCGCCAAUCUCGAAGGCUCCGUACCGAAUGGCGCCGGCGGAACUAAAGGAGUUGAGAGGUCAGUUACAAAAUCUCCUUGACAAACAGUUUAUCCGGCCGAGCGUAUCACCGUCGGGAGCCCCGGUGUUGUUUGUGAGGAAGAAGGACGGAUCGUUUCGACUCUGCGUGGAUUAUCGAGAGUUGAACAGAGUCACGAUCAAGAAUAAGUACCCACUUUCCCGAAUCGAGGAUUUGUUCGACUAGUUGCAGGGGUCGUGUGUGUACUCGAAAAUAGAUUUGCAGUCCGGCUAUCACUAGCUGAAGAUCAAGCCGGAGGAUGUGCAGAAAACCGCAUUUCGUACGCGGUAUGGGCACUAUGAGUUCACGGUCAUGCCAUUCAAGCUUACGAAAGCCCCGACAGCGUUCAUGGAUUUGAAGAACCGUGUCUUCAGGGAGUACAUAGAUCGAUUUGUCGUGGUCUUCAUAGACGACAUAUUGAUCUAUUCUCGCAAUGACGAGGAACAUGCCGAGCAUCUGAGGAUAUUCAGGGAACUUCUGGACAGCGAGGCCUACCGCUGGUGGUUAGAUAUUCAGGAGAAUCCCAGCACAGAUUUGGCGGCUAUCACUUGGAAGAAGUUCAAGGAACUUCUACUGGUGCAUUACUUCCCUGAUAGCGUUAAGAGGAAGAUGGAGCAGGACUUGCGCAACUUGCGCUAGGGAGAUCGGACAGUAGCCGAGUUCGAGAGGGAGUUUUCUCGGCUUCUUCACUGCAUGCCUUUCGUCAUGCAGGACGACGAGGACAAGGCCUGUAUCUUCAAGUGGGGAUUGCGACCGUCGAUCUUCCGGUUCGUGCAAUCCUCUAACCUCCAAACCUACCGGGAGGUGGUGAAUCGCGCGCUCAUUGUGGAGAGCGGCGCGACGGAUGUUCAGGAACGGCGAGAAGGCUUGGACAAGAGCAAGGGCAAAAGGCCCGAAGCUGAGGGUGCGAGUUAGACGCACUUAGGAGGCCGCCGAAGCACCCUAGGAGCCAGCAGCGUGGGCGCGGCUCAGCAGCGCAGCGAGGAGGCACCGACCGACGCCGGCCUCCCCAGUGUGUGAUAUGUAGUGGUCCUCACUUUCCACCGCAGUGUCCACAGCGGGCGGGCAGGUGCUACCAGUGUGGCCAGGAGGGCCACAUCCGGACCAAGUUCCCGAGGGGUUCGUCACCGGCACCGUCGACUGCAUCGGCACCGUCUCUACCAGCCGCCAGCUAGGGGCCUCCAUCGGCACAGUACCAGCCUGUGCGGUCAUCCGUCCAACGUCAGGGCGAGGGAUCUCGACAGGUCCCGAGUGGGCGCAUGUAUGCCGCUCAGAUCGAGGAGGCGCCAGGAGCCGAGGGUGUGGUUCAAGGUAUCAUUUUACUUGGUGGCAUUAGAGUUCAUGCAUUGUUUGAUACCGAUGCAUCACAUUCAUUCAUAGAUCGGCUGUUUGCCGAGUUGCAUGGCAUCCCUUUGGUUUCUUUGUUGCAUCCGGGACAGGUUGUAGUACCCGACCAUACUCUGGAUAUUCGAGAGUUUUGCCCCAGUUGCCUUAUUCGGGUAGGGGAUUGGAUUAUGCCCGUGGAUCUGCUAGCUUUGCGCAAGCUCGGGGAGUUCGAUGUGGUCUUGGGUAUGGAUUGGUUGACCAAGUAUUAUGCCACGAUUGAUUGCAAGAAUCGCACGGUUACUUUUAGAGAACCGGAGCAACUGAAGUGAUAUUUAGAGGAUGUCGGAGUUCACUGUUUGUGAUGACGAUCAGCUCGUCUCGAGCUAGGCAGCUGAUCAGCAGAGACUGCAUAGCCCAUUUGGCAAGCAUUGUUCUGGGGGGCGAUGAUGACACCCCUAGGAUUGAGGAUAUUCCGGUGGUGGACGUGUUUCCAGCUGAGCUACCGGGUAUGCCCCCUGAUAGGGAGAUUGAGUUUGUGGUGGAUCUCGUCCCUGGGACUACUACAAUCUCAAAAGCGCCCUAUAGGAUGGCACCGGCGAAGCUGAAAGAGCUGAGGGCACAAUUGCAUGAUCUUCUGGAUAAGGGCUUCAUUCGACCGAACGUCUCGCCUUGGGGAGCGCCAGUUUUAUUCGUCAAGAAGAAGGACGGAUCACUGCGCCUAUGUGUGGAUUAUCGUGAACUUAAUAAAGUCACGAUCAAGAAUAAGUAUCCGUUGCCAAGGAUCGACGACUUAUUUGAUCAGCUUCAAGGAUCGAGUGUUUAUUCCAAGAUCGACUUGCAGUCACGAUACCACCAGUUAAAGAUCAAGCCCGAGGAUGUAUCGAAGACGGCUUUUAGAACACGGUAUGGACAUUAUGAGUUCACAGUUAUGCCGUUCGGGCUUACUAAUGCCUCGACAGCUUUUAUAGAUCUAAUGAACCGUGUUUUUAAGCCUUAUCUAGACAGGUUCGUCGUAGUGUUCAUCGAUGACAUCUUGGUUUAUUCCUGAAGUGAUGCAGAUUACGAGGAACAUUUGAGACUUGUACUUCAAAUGCUUCGGGAAAAGGAACUCUUUGCCAAGCUGAAGAAGUGUGAAUUUUUGCUUCGAGAGGUAGCAUUCCUUCGACAUCUGAUUUCGGGAUAGGGUAUAGCCGUGGAUCCCAAGAAGAUUGAGGCUAUAAAGGAUUGGCCGAGACCGACGAGGGUCACAGAGAUACGGAGCUUCCUUGGAUUGGCCGGCUACUACCGGAGAUUUGUCGAGGGGUUUGCUAAGUCAUCUACUCCCCUCACGAGGCUCACGCAUAAAGGCGUCAAGUUUAUUUGGAACGAUGCUUGUGAAAAGAGCUUCCGAGAGUUGAAGCAGAGAUUGACUACCGCCCCGAUCCUAACCCUGCCGGUUGCUGGAGCAGGGUAUGUGGUUUAUAGUGAUGCUUCACUUAAUGGAUUGGGCUGUGUACUGAUGCAGGAUGGCAAGGUGAUCGCGUAUGCUUCUCUCCAAUUGAAGGAUUAUGAGAGAAACUAUCCUACGCAUGAUUUGGAGUUGGCGGCCGUAGUCUUUGCAUUGAAGCUAUGGCGCCACUAUCUUUAUGGCGAGCAGUGUGAAGUAUACACGGAUCACAAGAGCUUAAAGUAUCUAUUCAAUCAGAAGGAGCUGAACUUGAGACAGCGCAGAUGGUUGGAGCUACUCAAGGAUUAUGACUUGACUAUUCUCUACCACCCGGGCAAGGCUAACGUGGUGGCAGAUGCGCUAAGUCGGAAAUCGACGGAAAGCUGAGCGAUACAUGUUGUGGCUCAACCGCAGUUGAUUAAGCAAAUGAAGCGAUUAGAAUUGGAAGUGGUCACAACUGAUACACCCUUGAGGUUGAUGACCUUGGUAGUGUAACCUACACUUUUGGAUAGAAUUAAAGAAAAGCAAGUUUCCGUUGUGGAAUUGCAAAAGAUUAGAGAUAAAAUGGUUGAUGGUUUCACCGGUGAUUUCCUUGUGGAUGACGAGAUUUGAUGCGUUUUUGUGGACGGCUUUGUGUACCGGCGAAUUCGGGAAUUAAAGAAGACAUUCUUCAAGAAGCACACCGGGCACCUUAUGCCAUACAUCCGGGAGGCACCAAGAUGUACAAGGACUUAAAGUUGCUCUACUGGUGGCUCGGGAUGAAAAAGGAUGUUGGCGAGUUUGUAGCUCGUUGUCUAACUUGCCAAUAAGUAAAGGCGGAACACCAGUUGCCCGCGGAAAAACUUCAGAGUUUGCCUAUUCCGAUGUUGAAGUGGGAGAAGAUCACCAUGAAUUUUGUAAUGGGAUCGCCUCACUAUCAGGCCGGGCAUGAUGCUAUUUGGGUGAUUGUGGGUAGGUUGACGAAGUUGGCGCACUUCAUACCUAUUCAUACGACUUGGAUUGGAAAGAAGCUCGAAACUUGAUGAGAUUGUGCGACUCAUGGAGUGCCUACUUCGAUCGUAUCUGAUCGAGACACUCGAUUUGUGUCUCACUUCUGGAGGAGUCUACAGGACACCUUAGGCACUCGAUUGGAUUUUAGCACUGCUUUCCACCCUCAGAGUGAUGGGCAGUCGGAGCGCACCAUACAGACUUUAGAGGAUAUGCUCCAAGCAUGUGUGAUAGAUUUCUAGGGAGGAUGGUCGCAGCAUCUACCGAUGGCAGAGUUUGCUUAUAACAACAGUUAUCAAGCAAGUAUCAAGAUGGAACCCUUCGAAACACUUUAUGGACAGAAGUGUAGAUCGCCGCUUCAUUGGAGUGAAGUUGGCGAGAGAUUGGCUUUAGGCCCUGAUGUGCUCCAGGAAGCUGAGGACAAAGUUCGUAUUGCUCGGGGGCGACUUUUGACGGCACAGAGUAGACAGAGGAGCUACGCCGAUCGACGACGGCGAGACUUGGAGUUCCAAGUUGGAGACCAUGUUUUCUUGAAGGUCUCGCCGACCAGAGGGAUCAGGAGAUUCGGGAUUCGGGGUAAGUUGAGCCCCCGAUUCAUCGGACCGUUUGAGAUUUUGGAGCGUGUAGGUCUGGUAGCGUAUCGACUUGCUCUACCACCGGACCUAUCGGGAGUACGCUACGUCUUUCAUGUUUCGGUCCUUCGGAAGUACAUCUUCGAUUCGGCUCAUGUGUUGGAUGCUACACCUUUAGAGCUGAGGGAUGAUUUGAGUUUUGAGGAGCAACCCAUGAGGACCUUGGCUCGCGAGGUGCGGAAGCUGCGGAAUUGGGAUAUUCCGUAUGUGAAGGUUCUUUGGAGCAACCACGGGGAGCGAGAGGCCACGUGGGAGCUUGAGAGCGCUUUGCAGGAGCGCUAUCCCCAUCUUUUUCAGAUGGAGUAUUGAGGUACGUUGCUUUCGAGUUUCGCGGACGAAACUCCUAUUUAGGAGGGUUGAAUGUAACACACUAGACCUUUGCAAAUUGCAAGGUUGAGUGUUUGAUGAGUGUUCUGAGUUUUUUCAGAUAUUCUGGAGGGUCGUUGAUAGUGUUCCGACCUAUGGCUCGUAUUUCGUAAUUUGUAGUAUUUUAAAGUAGUUUUAAGGUCCCCAAAGUGAUGGACUUAGGCUGCUCUCGAAUUGCAAUUUUCUGGGCUGUGUACCGAUAUAUCUUGAUGGUUGUACCGGUACAGAAAGUGUACCGGUGACAACUCAAUGGUUGUACCGGUACAGGUGCGAUGGAUAGCCAACACGAGGCUCGGAUUUGCUGUCACGCAGGAUUUGUACCGGUACACUUUCCUGUGUACUGAUACACUUUGCUCUGUGAGCUGUUUUUGUUGAGGGGUGUUUUUACAAUUGUUGCAACUCUAUAUAUGCUACCCCAGCCCCCUUGGAGAGCUCUUUUGAGCUCAAACCAGUGGAGAACAAGGUGAGUUCUUCUCUAUUUGAUUUCUUCUCCAUUUUUGAUGAUUUUAGUUGGUUUUGAUCUCUUUUCGUUCUCCUCCUUGCUCUAUGUUGGUCCUUCACCUUUGGAGAAGCUUUGAAGCUUUUGUUGGAGCUUGUUUGGAGGGAGAACUUCAACCCUAGCUGGUUUGGGAGCUUGGUUUGGGACUCUUGUGAGGUUAGUGAGCUUAAUCUCCUCUUUGAUCCAUGUUUUAAUGGAUUUUACUUGUUGGAACCCUAGAAUUGGAACUUAGGGUUUAUUUUGGAGAUUUGAAUUUAUAGCUUCUAGAACCUAAUCGAUUGGUUUAGAAUCUUGGUUUAGGUUGGUUUGGAAGAACUCUAACUCCCAUUUGAAGAUCGAUAGAGUUUCCUUCGCAUUCGGUGAGUUUUCACCCUUCUGCUUGAGUUGUUUAAUGUUCGAAUCUAGAAUUGUUCGUAACGUUCGUGUAUCUCUCUUUUCUAUACCUUUAGGGUACUAGGAGAGUGGUGGAUACCUUCGUCGGCCCAAACGAAGGAUUUCGUGAAGUCACGGUGGGUUUGACUUCAUUGGAAUAGGAGAGAACUUCUCCUAAGUGGUAAAUGUUUUUAUUUCAUCGCAUCGCAUGCAUAUUGAUACUAGAUAGAAUUUAUAUGAAUUUUAGAAUGCUUAAAAUGCAUGUAUUAUGUAUUAUGAAAAUUCAUCUCUAUAUAGUAGAGCCUUAUGUGGAUUAAACAUGCAUGUGAGUAGCAUUCUUCUUGUGGGUUGGAAACAUGUCUCAUAUGACGAAAAUGACUCGAAUGAUGUAUUCUUAAACACUAAACUUGUGCUUGGACAUGAUAGACAAAAGUGCCAUAAAGGGGCACUCGAACUAGUAAACUGUUAAAUUGUAAUAUAGAGACAUGAUGACAUAAAGAUAGGCUAUUGUGACAUCGACUAUAUUCCAUGUUGUAGACAUGAUGACAUAGUGAUAGGCCAAGGAGACAUAUGUUAUAUUCCAUAUUUUAGAUAUGAGGACUUGGUACUUGAGACAGACUUUUAUGCUUGCUUGCCUUUGUGCUCAUUCGCACAUGCUUGUGAGGGUCGCUCCCUACAAGCCGGCACUCCGGAGAUAGCCAUCACAACAUAUGCUCGGCCGUGCGGGCCGGAUUGGGCGCCGAAGUGGAUUGCCGUGGGGGCGGCUCAUUCCUAGUGUGGGGAUGUUGACUACCACGGGGCCAUUAGGCACGGCGCAGGCCAGACAACCUAUGGGUGAGUCUUACAAGAUUGGAACUUUAAGUAGUUAACAUGCCAUAUGGACAUUGACUAGAAUAGUAAACAUUGACAUUUUACUAUUUUGUUGUAGACACCAUAUUGGUUGUAUAUUUCCCGCCUAUUCAUGUAUAGAAUAGCUUUCUUACUUACGCAAUUUCAUGCUAAGUAGAGAUAUCAUAUUGUAGUAAGUUUACAUGUUUAUUUACAUGUCGUUCAUAUCGCUUUUACUUACCUGUUUAGUUUUGGGUAUAGUGGAGCACUUAACUGAAGUCAGUAAUCGCCCACUGGGAACUAUUAUUUAAUAGUUCUCACGCCCUCUGUUUUAUGUUUUAUUUCAGAGCCUUCGGCACCAGCGGAGGCACGGGAUCGCGGCAAGGGGGUCACGUAGAUAGCUAGCAGGGAGCUUUACUUUUGCUUAGGUGGUUUUCUCUCUCGUUGUUUUUGGAGAAAGAGGGAGAGGUUUUGUUGUACCCAUGUAUAGAGCCACCUAUGUUUACCUUCAGCACUUGUGUUUGGGAUUUCUUUUUGUACUACCUUUCGAUUUACUUAUAGAUGGUUGUUAGCUCCUUUACUUGUCUCCCUUCAUAGAAUCUAGAUGUUGUUUUAUGCUUUGAUAUCUCUAGAUCUUCUUUUAUUGUUGCUUUAUUUAUCAUUUUGAGGUAGACGCCUUAUAUAUUUUAGACAUGUGGCGGGUCUGGGCAUGCGUCGGGCGGGCUUCCGCUGGGUCCCGGGGCGUGACAGCCGGGACGCGCGCACGGCGAGGGCAAGGUGGAGAUGGGGCGACCAGGGUUAGCUUGGUGGACUAGGGCAGCAAGAGGGUUAGGCUUUUCAUAGAAACCCUAGCUCUUUAGCUUUUAUACAAGAUGGCAAAAUGCAAUUUAGUCCACCCCUGCUCAUUCAUUUCAACUCAGUCCCCAUCAAUACAUGAAUUAAGCACACAAGUCCCUCGACGUUCAAAUUCGUGCGAAAUGGCGCAUAAAAUAUUAGCCUUUUCUCAGAUUUUCCGUUUCGCCAAUAAAUGACCCCUCAGCAAACCUUUUGCAAUUUCCGAAGAUUCGUCCACCAGAUUUCUGAACGGAUCAUGUCAGUGCGUUCAGCACGACUGGGGUAUCGAAUCUAGCUUUUCGUUUUAUCCGAUUUAAUAGCCGAUUUGCGACAAAACCAACCCUCUCCACGAUCCACCAUUAUAACCACUCAUAUAUAUAUAUAUAUAUAUAGAGUAGGGCUAGAAUACUUUUACAAGUAUCACCCAAGUGAUACUUGUGUGUUUUUAGCCAUUGGAUCUACUUUUUGAUUACUAAUAGCCCUUGGAUCAAACACUAUUCCACCUACUACCACCUACCACCACCUACUACCAUCAUCUCAACCUCACAUCUCUCCAUCCAAGGGCUAAAAACACACAAGUAUCACUUGGGUGAUACUUUACAGUAUUCUAGCUUACUCUAUAUAUAUAAUAUAUAUAUAUAUAUAUAUAUAUAUAUAUAUAUAUAUUAUAUGCAAAUCCAAUAAAUCCCAUUUUCUUGAAAACCGUGCACAGAACCCAAAUCCGUCAGUCCCAUUAGGUCCAGUAUAGCUGAACGCGUCUAAUAACGAGCUAUUGGAUCGCUAUGAACGGAGUCGAUACGCGCCAGAAGCCAAUCUACUCCUCAGCCUCUUCCGGAAAACCGACAGUUACUAAUCACUUAGGUGAUUAGUAUUUAUCACGUAACUUCUCCAUUCUAACUCGUUUUCUCUCGAAAUUUGACGAGUGCUUAUGUAAUUAAAUUACACAUCAAAACAAAUCGUCAACAGAGAAUUUAGCUACACUGCCAAAAUCUCAGUUCUUACAAUAGAGUACAAAAUUUCACUAUACAUAACAUGUAUGUCUUAUGCUUUCAUAAAUUCUAGCAUGUCAUUUUGAGCAUAAAUAAACAACUAAUUAUGUCUUAAAACCAUAAGGAGCACCCUAAAAGAAUUUCUAAGAGGGUUACAAGCUACGAACGAACAUCAAACAAAAUUCACCAAAAAUAUAGAAAAGAGGUGAAAAUUACCUUUGACCAAGUUACACUUGUCCAAAGCUCAAAUCAACCCAAUUGAUCUUCAAAUCCAACCUAAAGGGGAGUUCUACACUCAUCAAUUAGGUUCCAAAAGCUUCACAUAAAGAAACCCCAAAAUAAACCCUAGUUUUUUCAAAACUAGGUUUUCAUCUCCAAAUCUUGCAAAAAUCGCAAAUAGAGGUUGCAAGAUGGGUACUAACCUUCAAGAGAGCUCCAAUCAAGCUAUCUCGAGCUAGGGUUCAAGAUCUUUCCUCCCACAAGCUCCAAACUCCCACUUCAAAGCUUUUCCAAGGUCCAACAAAGCAACCCACAUGAAGAAAGAACAAAAGAGGAGAUCAAACCUUGAAAUCUCCUAAGAAAAAGAGAUGAAAUCAAAAGAGAAAUGGAUAAGGAACUCACCUUUCCCUUGUAAUAUACCGAAACUUCGGUAGAGAUUAUCGAACGUUAGUCAAAUUGACCAAAGUUGCGAAGUUGGGACGCUUCGGGAUGGCCGAACGCGUCGAAAAUGCAUAAGUGCAUUGUAGAAGGUCUCGGAGAGCAAGCUAGUGCAAAUCUGCACAAUUGCAGGUUUUUGUGCUCUCGGGGACCGGUCCCUGGCAAGAGGGAAUGGACCCCGUACUCGUGGGAAGCGCAAAAUGCCAAUCUGCACAAAAGUGUGCUCUCGGGGACCAGUCCCUGGUGGGAAAGACCGGACCCUGGCUGCAUAAACUGCAGAAUGGUGCUCUCGGGGUUCGGUCCCUACUAGAGAGACCGGUCCCCGCAAGCAAAAAUUGCCCAAUCUAGGCAGUGUGAGAGGCAACAAGUUAAGGGGCCCAAAUGCAAUUAUGCAUUAAGUGGGAUAUGUAUAGGGGCAAAUGAGGGCUUUCUCUCAUUUCUCUCCCUCACACUACACUAAAAGGAGCUCUCUCUCUCUCUAGGAUCUCUCUCUCUCUCUCAAGAGGUGGAGCUAGGAGGAGGAUUUGGUGGAGAAGGACGUUAAGGAGUGAAGUAACUCCUUCAUCUUCUCCAUUAGCUUGAGGAAAGGAAAGCUUUAGAGGUAAGCUUCAAGCCCUCUCAUGGUAGAACCCUAGAAUGGAAUUGGAAUGACCUAGAAUAGGUUUUAAAUGAACCUCUAGAUAAUUUCAAGCUUGUAUAUGCUUGAUUCAAGUGGGAUUAUAGUGCAUGUUGCUAUAGUGCAAUAUUAGGGCACCCAAAAGAGGGGUUUUGCUCAAGUAAGGUUUUGAUCUAAAUUGAUCUUAUACAAACCUAAUUGGGGGUAUUUCCGACGCGUUGGUGUGCUUGGUUCGGCAAUCCGACGAGUAUACGCGAAGAUAUUGAUAAAAAGGUCAAUUUUGGUACAGAUUGUCGCAGCGCGCGUGUAACACACCGGACCUUUGCAAAUUGCGAGGUUCGAGUGGUUAGCUGUGCUCUGAGCUUUUCCAGAUUUCCUGGUAGGUCGAUGACUGUGUUCCGACCUAUGGCACGUGUCCCGAGGGGUGUGGUACAAAGCCUUGCACCAAAAUCCAAAAAUUUGGAUUUUGGUCAGCUCUCGGAUUGGCUGUCUGGCGGGCUUGUACCGGUACAAGGUUGUGCUUGUACCGGUACAGAGCCGCGAACUCGCAAACCCGAGCCUCGGGUUUGCAUUUUCGCAGGUCUUGUACCAGUACAAGGAUGGUCUUGUACCGGUACAAUGUUGAUGGUUGUACCGGUACAGCCAUCGGGGUGCAGUGCCGCAGAACAGCGCUGAAAGUUUUGAGGAGCCCAAGGAUCUAUCUAGAUUGUAUCUAUCACCUAGAGGGGGGUGAAUAGGUGAAAGGCCAAAAACCACAAAUCUCGAUGCAAUAAAAAUAAAUGCGGAAAAUAAAAAGCACACCGACAUUUACGUGGNGAGAAAAGAUUACACGGUGAUUACCGACUCCACGGACUCAACCUCUCUUAACCUCCUAUGAAUCUCGCGCAAUCCUCCGGGUUGUCCACACCCUCACGUUCGAAUCCACGAACGCCUCCACUUCGAAUCCAUGAAGCUUCAAUCACGCUGAAUCCACGACGCCACUCGAAUCCACGAGCCCACGAUCCGAAUCCACGAACCGCCUUCGUCCACGCCGAAUCCACGACGCCAUUCAUGAAGAACAUCAUGAUUAUGGUGAUCCUUCGCUUAGAGUAUCGUAGAAAACCAAGGAAGAAAACUCCAAGCGAAGACUAGAUCAAAUCGACAUAUAGCGAAUGCGAAACGAUACCUCGAUUUGAUCUAAAGAGGCUAAUUUGUAGAAAAUAGGUUUAGAACGAAAUACUAGCCUCUAGGGUUCUGUAAUUGUGUAUUCUUAUCAUU
rnacentral:lncRNA from 1 species